UAAUCUCUCAGCCUUAAUAUAUGUAUUUAGAAUUUGGGCAGACUACUCUUGAUUGCCGAUGAGAGCUUGUCAAAUUCUUUUAGAAGGCCUCAGAAACCGUUGUUGAUUUGCUCCAGAUGCCUUAGUUGAACGUUUUUAUUUGUUUAUUUGUCUUUACCUCCGAUUGUAUUUGUCAAACAGUAUGAAUCCUCUACCGUUUUCGGCGGCGGAAUGGGUACGAACCCAGGCGGCACUAACUGCAGGGAAUAGUCCGAUGAUGAUGACGGGUUCAUUCGAAGGCUAAACGACUUAAUAAGACCUUGAACCAGCAAUUAUCGUACCAUAAUCCACAACCUCAAGGUCAUUUAUUGCUCUUAUUUGGCACAACAUACUAAUUGUCUUUAAAGGUCGUAUAUCACAACCAUCCUCACAAACAAGAUCAGCCGUCGUCGUGAAAUUGUUCGAAGCUAGCAGCCAAAUGGUUGUGCAAGAAGGGUAUACAGAUCCACACAUUAUUUAUACCUGACCCACUUCAGACAAUAUGGCACACCUCAACAUCCCAAGGCAACCAGGCUUAGUACAGUUUGUUGUAAAACAUGACAUCGCAACCAAAGGUUGAUUGGAUGUACUAUUGAUGUUUGGGGCAUACAACACAGCAAGAGGCAUGGCAAUAUCAACGCUGCUUAUUAGGUUCUUCUUGGUGGAUUGAGGCAUGGCAAUAUCAUGGCUGGUUUACCUGUCUUUUGCAACAAUUAGUUGGUCAUGUGUAGAUGUGAUCACACGGGUCCGUUUGAGUUUGAAACCAAACAGCCGAUGAGUUUGGAUGUGUUCUUGACGUACGUUAGGCUGUGGUCUGCAUACCAAACAGCAAAAGACAAGGGCGUGGAGUUGUUGAGCGAUGGUGUGAUCGAGGAAUUCAGAAAGGCUUGGAAGGAAGACGCGAAUGUAGAAAAGAGCGUUACGUAUCCGGUUUAUCUACGGAUCAGGAAAGCUGGAGACGCGUUAAACAGGCCAUAUAAUUUGCAUGUUAAAUCUGUGAUAUGAACAAUGAUUAGUGAAGUAUCUCAUAGGUGGUAUGAUGUAUUUUCGUAAGGGGUGAUUGCCUUUUGUACUUGCCAUCUUCUGUUCAUAUAAUUAAUGAUGAAAUAAAACGGAAUUUGA
rnacentral:lncRNA from 1 species